AUUAAAAUCUAAUCAAAUUCUAUUAAAAUCUUAAUCAAAUCUUAAAAAUUCCUAAUCAAAUCCUAAUCAAAUCUUAAAAAUAUCCUUAUCAAAUUCUAAACAAAUUCUAACCAAAUCAUAAUUAAAUCUUAAUCAAACCUUAAAUAAAACAUAAAAAAAUCCUAAAAAAAUCUUAAACAAAUCCUAAACAAAUCAUGACCAAAUCCUAAACAAAUCCUAACCAAAUCUUAAAUAAAUCCUAAUCAAACUCUAAACAAAUCCUAACCAAAUCCUAAUCAAAUUCUAAAUAAAUCUUAACCAAAUCUUAAAUAAAUCCUAAUCAAAUUCUAAAAAAAUUCCAAUCAAAUCCCAAACAAACUUUCAUCA
rnacentral:lncRNA from 1 species